UCUGUUCUAUGGUUCUGUCCGCAAGCGUGAACUUUCCGCAAUGGCCAACAACGGGUGGUUGUCCUCGCGUUCGUUCGCCUUAUUCCGGCAUCUGCCCUAUCAUGUGGACGGGAUGACCUACCAGGCUGCCCAGAAGGAACGCUGUGCUGCGGAACCAACUGCGGAGGAAGCAUGUGUGUCGUUCCGCAAAACACACCUUGAUGGACUUCGGGCACUAAAACUCUUUUACUAACAGGCAUCCUAAUAAAAGCUUAAAGUUA